rnacentral:lncRNA from 1 species
ACCGGCUGGGGCAGGACAAGGGCGGCCACGCGAAGCUGGCCUGCCCGCUCUGCCGCACCUCGGCGCCCGACAUCAAGUCGAUGCAGAUCCACCACGAGGCGCGCCACCCCAAGCUCCCCUUCGAGCCGGAGAAGCUCCUCAACCUCCACUCCUCCACCCCCGUCGCAUCGGAGGCCACCUCCUCCAACUCCAAGCCCAAGCCCGGCAUCCGCGGCAGCCUCAAGAAGUAGCGUGCUUGCUUGCUAGCUUGGGGUAAUUCCCUUCAAUUCCAAUCAUAUCCACCAACCCGAUCUAUAAUUAAUCCAUCGGUGGCGGCUGCCGCUGCUGGCCUGUGGUGUGCUACUAGUCUGCUGCUGCUUUUCGUUACUGCUGCUACAUGUGUCAUGUGAAAGACGUGUUAAUUAACUAUAUCCGUGGCUAUGGCUUCGCUGCUGUUUGUUU